rnacentral:rRNA from 1 species
UAACAUGAGAGUUUGAUCCUGGCUCAGGAUGAACGCUGGCGGCGUGCUUAACACAUGCAAGUCGAACGAAGCACUUUU